AUGUCAAGCUCGGCGUAUAUGGCGAAGAUGAAAAGCCUCAGCGAUGAACUAGCUGCUGCCGGCUGUCCCGUCUCUGAUCCGGAGAUGGUGGACUACAUCUUGGCCAGACUAGACCGCGACUACGACUCCGUGGUGGUGGCGAUCGGCGCUGUCAAGAACACCAUCACCGCCGAUGAUCUUUUUGCUCAGAUCUCCGCCUUUGAUCAAAGGAUGGAGAUGCUAGGCGACUCAGCUUCAGGCGGGUUCCACUCAUCUGCUAAUGCGGUCUACAGGGGCCGUGGACAGUCUCGCGGCAGAUACCGCGGGCGAGGAGGAAGGGGGCGUGGCCGCGGUUACCGCCAGCCCUCGUCUUCCAAUGGAGGCAGCGGCUUCAGAGGGCGCCCUCGACAGCAGCAACAACAGCAGCAGGUGCGUGAGCAGCAACAUGAUUAUCCUGAGUGUCAAAUAUGCUUCAAACAUCAUCCAGGAGGUGCUCGGGUCUGUUGGUGGCGCUAUGAGGAGAACAACCCAGAAGAAAAAGAAGCGCAUGCUGUCUCCUAUGGCGUGGACACAAAUUGGUAUGCCGAUAGUGCAGCAACAAACCACAUCACAGGUGAACUUGACAAAUUGACGAUGCGGGAGAACUACAAUGGAGGCGACCAAAUUCGCACGGCAAGCGGUUCUGAAUUCUACCCUUAUUUUUUCUUGGUCAAGGACUUGAGGACAAGGAGAAUCAUUCUUAGAGGACAAUGCGUGGGAGGCCUCUACCCACUCAUAUCAUCAUCAUCAUCAUCAUCAUCUUCAUGGUCAAAUAAACAAGCAAAUAGUGUCACCAAGAUUUCUUCAUCAAGGUGGCAUAGUCGCUUGGGUCAUUCAUCUUCAGUCAUAGUUAGACAUGUUCUUAGCAAAAAUAAACUCUCUUAUGAGCCUAGUGUUGAGUCAGUUUGUGAUCCGUGUCAACAAGCAAAAAGUCAUCAAUUACCUUAUCCUAUUUCUACUAGUGUGUCCACUGCUCCCCUACAACUUAUCUUUUCAGAUGUAUGGGGGCCGGCUCCUACUUCAGUUGGUAGAUUUUCCUAUUAUGUAAGCUUUAUUGAUGACUAUAGUAAAUUUACUUGGAUUUAUUUACUAAAGAAACGAUCUGAUGUAUUCCAAGUUUUUAUCAAUUUCCAAAACCUUGUUGAACGCAAACUGAACUCCAAAAUCAUUGCUAUGCAAAGUGACUGGGGUGGUGAGUAUGAAAAAUUGAAUUCUUUCUUCCAAAAACUUGGCAUAUCCCAUCAUGUCUCUUGCCCUCAUGCUCACCAACAGAAUGGGUCUGCUGAAAGAAAGCACCGUCACAUAGUUGAUAUGGGGCUUGCAUUAUUAGCAAACGCAUCCAUGCCACUUAAAUUUUGA
rnacentral:rRNA from 1 species